UUUGUAUAUGUACUGUUAUAACAGAUUUUAAGUUAAUUUAAAGCUUAUGUCUGAAUAAUAAAUCUAGCACUGAUAAUAGUCCUGCAUUAAGCUGGAGGUAGGACUAUAUCCUUUCUGACCAGCUUUUUUGAUUCUGUGAAAUUUUUAACAGAAUGAGUAAUUAGCUAUUAUUUUUACAGGACGUUGAGAUAUAUUUACGGAUGUUUGCAGAAGUCUGUUCAAAGCAAGUGGCCAUCUAAUACCAAUAUGAGAACAAGAGUUGUUAGUGGCUUUGUUUUUCUUCGACUGAUUUGUCCUGCUAUACUGAAUCCAAGGAUGUUUAAUAUCAUCUCAGAUUCCCCUUCCCCUACUGCUGCAAGAACGCUGACGCUGGUUGCCAAGUCUGUGCAGAAUUUAGCAAAUCUGGUUGAAUUUGGAGCUAAGGUGAAUAUAAUUUUACAUAGAACAGCCUAGAACUGCAUUUUCAAUACAUUUCAAUGUUCCUGUUUAAUACAUGCAAAAAUCUGUUGCUGUUUUCUUGUACAAAGCCUGAUGUGUGACCUGAGUGUCUUCAUCAGCAAGGAGGCCUUGUUCCUGCAGUUUGUCCUAUCCUCUUCAGUUGGAGCUACACAGGAAGUUAAUUUAGAGCAGUAGCAUAAAGUCUGUCUGUACAGGGAGUAAUCUAGGAACUUGUGUGAAUGAUUUAGUGCAUACCAUGAAGAUUUUGAAUCUGGUAGUAUGAACAACAGAAAUAGUCUGUUAAAAUAACUGAUGAAUUAAUGACCAUACUAGUAGAUAUUUGUAGAGUGUGAUGCAACCAUAUCUUCAUGCUAUGAGAACAGAUAAACUCAGACAUUUGUUUCAAAGACAGUAUCCAAAAUGAGAAAAUAGUAGACGUAGUCUUACUCUAGUAGACUGCAGGGGAAGCACGUGCUUUUCACCGCGGCAAACCGAGAGAGAGAACGGGAGGACAGGCCAGUAUCCUGACAGGAACCUCCACCUCUCUUCCUCUGCCGCCAUGUCCUCCGGGAAUGCCACUCCGCUCCUCCUCUCCCAACCAAAUACCCGAAAUGCCCGUAAAAGGAAGUCCACGGAACCAGAAUAUUAACUCUUUAACUCCCAUUGUUUUUUCAUGAUGUUCUGAUGUGGAAUACUGGCAACAAAAAUCACAGUACCACAAAACAUCCGUGUGAUGCUAUUUUUGUUUUAAGAUAAAAACAGUCACUAUGAAGAAAAACAACAUUCUCCCAGCUGAAACUAAGAUGAGGUGGUAAUUAAUGAGGAUGUAUUGGAUAGUGUGUGACCUGAGCAUGACACAAAUGUAUGGAAUAAAGGGUGGAGGUUGUGCUGGCUCUGGCUGGGAUGAAGUUAAUUGUCUUUCUAGCAGCCAAUAUGGUGCUGUGUUUUAGAUUUAUGUUGAUAACUCACUGGCAUCUUGGCUCAACAGUGCUUGCUCUCUUUCCUCUUUCCCUUCUGUCCCUGUCCUCCUUUCCCAAGCAAGUAGACUGGAGGUAUGCAAGAAGUUGGAAACAACCACAACAGCUGACCCAAACUGACUAAAGGAGUAUUCCAUACCAUAUGACAUCAUGGUCAGCACUAAAAAUUCAUGGAGAAAGAGAAAGAAGCAGGAUUUUCUGUGCUUUUGGCAUUUCUCUUCCCAAGUAACUGUUAUGUGUGCUGAGGUCCUGCUUUACGGGAUGUAGCUGGACAUCUGCC